rnacentral:rRNA from 1 species
UACAGAGGUCUCAAGCGUUGUUCGGAUUCAUUGGGCGUAAAGGGUGCGUAGGCUGCGCGGAAAGUUGGGUGUGAAAUCCCUCGGCUCAACCGAGGAACUGCGCCCAAAACUGCCGUGCUCGAGGAAGAUAGAGGUAAGCGGAACUUACGGUGGAGCGGUGAAAUGCGUUGAUAUCGUAAGGAACACCUGUGGCGAAAGCGGCUUACUGGGUCUUUUCUGACGCUGAUGCACGAAAGCUAGGGGAGCAAACGGG